AAGCACGUGAGGUAAAAAAAUUUUGGCAACCUUAUCCUCUCCUCCUCCUAAGAGGCCGUGACUUCUCUCGUUCUCCCCCAAAUCUGUUCGUCUCCACCUACCUCUGUCCUCGCAAAAUUGCCGGUCGCCGUUCGUUCCUCACCGCGCGCCGAGUGCCGGCGCCGAGGCCUCCGCAAUCGAUGGGUUAAUCCCAGCCACCAUCGUCCCCCAUUCCCUACUCCUUGGGCGGCUGCCGCCAAAAUCGCCGCUCUCGCUUCUCGAUGCACCAGGACCGUGGCGCCGUCGCUGGUACUCACAAGCAGUAGAUUACAUCAAGAGAGCAGCAGAUGAUUUGAGUGAUCGGCCCAACAUUUUAAUUUGUUCUUAUUGGCUGGCUACCUCGAUUCCUAUUGGCUGCACAUGGCUAGAUCUAUUCGGAAGAGCUGCUCCUUGUAGGCACAGUCCUUUGAGCAGGCAAAGUACUGCAUUGGCAAUUGGACAUACAAAGAUGUUAGCAGAGGACAAGAAGCACAGAAGCUUGCCAACUCCAACAAUAAUCUGGAAACUUUUGACCUUUUCUGAUGGUGCUGUUGCUGAUAGGGGAAGUUUGAAUCUUCCCUGACAGUAUGUAACUGACAGGGAAACUCUCCCCUAACGGAAAAGGAAAACCAACGGGAAAAUCUCUGCCGACGGUAGCAACCGUCAGGGAACAUUCAGGGAAACUUGACUUUCCGUGACAUUUUUUUCCUGAUGGAUUUCAGCACUUUCCCUGACGGAAUAAGCUGUCAGGAAAAAAGUUGGCUGGGGUAGCUAAGGUGUCUUAUGUUGUUGCUGCUCAUUGAAUUUUUUUUAAUAAAAGCAUUGUCUUGCACGGAAGAUAUGCUCAUCAGCACUGUCAUUAAGUCCAGACUAUGGGUAACUAGUAGAAUACAUAGUGUGUGCUGCUCCUGGGACAGAAAUAUCGAGCCUCCAUACAGAAAAUUACAAAGGGACACAACAAGAUUUAUUUAACAUAUUCACUCAUGGGUCCAUAUCUUUUAUUGGUUAAUAGCCCGUCAAUGGUGGUAGGUUCACAGUUCUGCUACAAUUUCUUGUGCUGCAUUUUCUGAUUAGUUGAAGCUAGUAGGCUGCAGCACUGCAAAAAUAUAUAAAUAUUGCAGAAGAUAGAUGUGAAGUAAAUAUAAAACGAAUCGCUUUCUUUGGUUACAUGAUGUGCUCAUGUUGAGAUAAGUCAUAUUUUCUGUUCAAUAGUGUGCAGAAAUUGUGUACAUAAACACAUCACCUCUUGCAGCUGACAAAUUAAAUACUUGCUAGUAGUGUACAAUACAGACGUUAAUAUUCAUCGAUCCAUUCCACACCUUUUUCAUCCAUUACAUGAAGAUAAACAUGUCACAAAUAACCAUCUGAUUUUCUGGAGACAACAGUGUCAGAUGGUGCAGACUUGAAGGAGAUGCCAGAGGAGGGAGCAAACAGGAGAGGAAUACAGUAAACUCAAAAGGUGGCCAGGCGGAGGACGAGAAGAACUCAAAGACACUCUGGCAUCUGGCCAGAUUGCACGAGUCUACUCCACAGGCAUUUGACCACAUGCUAGCUGAGGCCAGGAACAUGAAUGCAGCAAGGUCAUGGCACAAAGGAAGUCAUCUGCCAUGGCUCAGCAGUAGCCAGCACCAUCGCCAUGGCAACAAAACCCCUUCCCUCUGAACGUCAUUCAUCCAAUCUGGAGCAUUUCCAUGAACACUUGCAAGCCAUUUCCGUGUUGCUUCCUGUUCCUAAUACAUAAUAGUGGCUUCUUGCCAACAACUCUUUUGAUCUUCUGGUUCCCCUCUACUGCUCUACCCUCUGCUGUGUUGAGUAUUUGUAGAACAUGAAACACUAGCU